rnacentral:rRNA from 1 species
AACGCGAAGAACCUUACCAAGGUUUGACAUGCAGGGAAAAGCCUCAGAGAUGGGGUGUCCGUAAGGGUCCUGCACAGGUGGUGCAUGGCUGUCGUCAGCUCGUGUCGUGAGAUGUUGGGUUAAGUCCCGCAACGAGCGCAACCCUCGUCCUAUGUUGCCAGCGGGUAAUGCCGGGGACUCAUAGGAGACUGCCGGGGUCAACUCGGAGGAAGGUGGGGAUGAGGUCAAGUCAUCAUGCCCCUUAAGUCUUGGGCUGCAAACAUGCUACAAUGGCCGGUACAGAGGGCUGCGAAACCGCAAGGUGGAGCGAAUCUCAAAAAGCCGGUCUCAGUUCGGAUUGGGGUCUGCAACUCGACCCCAUGAAGUCGGAGUCGCUAGUAAUCGCAGAUCAGCAACGCUGCGGUGAAUACGUUCCCGGGCCUUGUA